UACGAAGGGGGCUAGCGUUGCUCGGAAUCACUGGGCGUAAAGCGCACGUAGGCGGAUUGUUAAGUCAGGGGUGAAAUCCUGGAGCUCAACUCCAGAACUGCCUUUGAUACUGGCGAUCUCGAGUCCGGGAGAGGUGAGUGGAACUGCGAGUGUAGAGGUGAAAUUCGUAGAUAUUCGCAAGAACACCAGUGGCGAAGGCGGACUCACUGGCCCGGUACUGACGCUGAGGUGCGGAAAGCGUGGGGAGCAACAGGG
rnacentral:rRNA from 1 species